rnacentral:lncRNA from 1 species
UGUUUGAACGUUGAUUAUGUUCUGUUCCUUCGCGUGGUGCGGCGUUUCCCCGUGUCCCGCCAACGACGAAUGCCAGGCGGCCUGCAGCAACGCUUCGCCGCAGAUGUGUCGGACUCCUUCUAGAUCUUCGUGCUUCUCAUUUCUGCGACGACUCCAAGGAUGAGCGGUGUGUCAGUAGUGCUCCGGCUGAUGUAUGUUGGGGCCCGGGCAGGCUUCCCCGAGGCUGCUGGCCAGGACUGGAAUUUGGGCGAUAGGCUGGGCAGGACUGGGAGCGCAUCUGGUUCCGUUGUCGCUUGGUGUUACUGCAGUUACGGCCUGUGUUGCUGUGUCCUCCGUGCUGCGCCCUCCUAGUUGCGCGGCUGACGCGUUGGGUUGCCCGGGGUUUGGCAAACCGCUGCGGGCAGCUUGUGUCAUUGGUGAGAUGGUCGCUGUGGCACUGGGUGCACUUCGGUGUGCACACAUGGUCGGCCGGGAAGUUGGGUACUGCACACUUGAAGCAUAUUUUUAUGUGCGGCGUGGGGCAGACGUCGGCCCGAUGCCGCGCCACCAGACAUUUAGUGCAAACCUGUCCGAUGGGCCGGUAGGGAGGCAGCGCUGGAGCAUGCUCUGGUACUGGACGUACGGGGGGUCUUGCGUCCCUCAAAAGUGACAAGGGCCGUGCCAGUGUUGCCUAGCACACUUCCAAAUUUUCUCCACUAGACCUGAGCUCGAGUUUUCCGGGGUGAGUGUCUAGCGUCAGCAUAUGUCCACGUGCUCACAUCGAUCACAUGAAUAGGUAGCGCUACUUUUUGUGAUCAGUUAGAGUAGCUAUGUGCUUCGUUUAGUUGGUCUAUGAACAGUAGCAGGUUGAAUACGAGCGAGAACAGCGAGAGACACAUUCAGUAGAAAAGUGUCCGUUUGAUGUCGAACUCACGACAAUUACCUCACCGUGAUACAAACCCUACAAACUAGUUUUACAUCAAAGGCAAACCGAAGACGCCAUCGGUACUGUUAAUAGGUUAAUGAGGCAUCUGGAAAAUGACUGCCAUAUGAUUGUUCAAUAAAUAUAUAAAUAUCUAGUGCCCAGGUCCCUAUACCUUAAAUAGUCUCUCAACAUUCCAACUAAAGAUUUUUUUCGGAGGCUAACUUUUAAAGAGAUUGUAUAAAAGGUUUUGACAUAAAAGCUCAAAAUUGUCUUUUCCAAUAGUGGGAAACUCUGCUCCAAAACGCGUUGUUCCGUGCUACAGGAGCUGGUCCAAUUUGUCAGUUCCACCACUGCUUACCUAUGUCCAUGCAAACAUGACAUAGCUCUGUGAUAGUAGGAAGGCUUCCCAGAUUCGCCUAUGCACGCAGGCUGGCAGCUUCUGGCAAUUUCUUUGACCCGGGAAGCCCCACACCCACCACAUAAAGAGCCGGUAUGCCGUGUGCCGGAGUAUUCUGAAAAAAGAUAACAAUUGCGUAUCCACUCCUUUAAGAUUUCUUGUUCAACUUGCUCAUCCACGAGUAUCAUUUAUUGUCCCUGAUGCUCUUUUGUUGCCUGCCACAUCGCGCACACACGACGCCACUAGCGUGUAUGCAGGAUCGCCGGUGCGUGGGUUCGCUCAGUGCAAGCGACUUUCAAAGCAACAUACUCGCUCUUGUAGUUUCUGCUUCGCUCGCACUUCAUGUGAAAUAAAAGAAAGAUGUGCUCAAGCGUA